rnacentral:rRNA from 1 species
ACAGGUGGUGCAUGGUUGUCGUCAGCUCGUGUCGUGAGAUGUUGGGUUAAGUCCCGCAACGAGCGCAACCCUCGUUCUAUGUUGCCAGCACGUAAUGGUGGGAACUCAUGGGAUACUGCCGGGGUCAACUCGGAGGAAGGUGGGGAUGACGUCAAAUCAUCAUGCCCCUUAUGUCUUGGGCUUCACGCAUGCUACAAUGGCCGGUACAAAGGGCUGCAAUACCGUAAGGUGGAGCGAAUCCCAAAAAGCCGGUCCCAGUUCGGAUUGAGGUCUGCAACUCGACCUCAUGAAGUCGGAGUCGCUAGUAAUCGCAGAUCAGCAACGCUGCGGUGAAUACGUUCCCGGGUCUUGUACACACCGCCCGUCAAGUCAUGAAAGUCGGUAACACCUGAAGCCGGUGGCCCAACCCUUGUGGAGGGAGCCGUCGAAGGUGGGAUCGGUAAUUAGGACUAAGUCGUAACAAGGUAGCCGU